CUGUGCUAGGCGGGGAGUUAGCGGUGCCCUGAACCUGCAAUCCGCUAUAGCAGGGCUGAAUUCCCACCCGAGGCUUGAGCAUCCUCAUCCUGGCUGGCGUAAGCGGCGAUGAUGGUACAAGCCUCACGCAAUAAGAAAAUGCCCAACCCCGUCAGGACCGGAAGGUAGCAGCGGUAAGCAGAUUUCUUAUGUGCCGUGAGAUUCCUUGUCCGGAGCUGGCUGCAAAAGCCGGGUGAGACCAUGCAGGGUCGAAGGUGGGUGCACAG
rnacentral:SRP_RNA from 1 species